UACGUAGGGUGCGAGCGUUGUCCGGAAUUAUUGGGCGUAAAGAGCUCGUAGGCGGUUUGUUGCGUCGGCCGUGAAAACCUGCAGCUUAACUGUGGGCCUGCGGCCGAUACGGGCAGUCUUGAGUUCGGUAGGGGAGACUGGAAUUCCUGGUGUAGCGGUGAAAUGCGCAGAUAUCAGGAGGAACACCAGUGGCGAAGGCGGCUCACUGGCCCGAUACUGACGCUGAGGCACGAAAGCGUGGGGAGCAAACAGG
rnacentral:rRNA from 1 species